GAUGAACGCUGGCGGCGUGCCUAAUACAUGCAAGUCGAGCGAACAGACGAGGAGCUUGCUCCUCUGACGUUAGCGGCGGACGGGUGAGUAACACGUGGAUAACCUACCUAUAAGACUGGGAUAACUUCGGGAAACCGGAGCUAAUACCGGAUAAUAUAUUGAACCGCAUGGUUCAAUAGUGAAAGACGGUUUUGCUGUCACUUAUAGAUGGAUCCGCGCCGCAUUAGCUAGUUGGUAAGGUAACGGCUUACCAAGGCAACGAUGCGUAGCCGACCUGAGAGGGGGAUCGGCCACACUGGAACUGAGACACGGUCCAGACUCCUACGGGAGGCAGCAGUAGGGAAUCUUCCGCAAUGGGCGAAAGCCUGACGGAGCAACGCCGCGUGAGUGAUGAAGGUCUUCGGAUCGUAAAACUCUGUUAUUAGGGAAGAACAAAUGUGUAAGUAACGAUGCACGUCUUGACGGUACCAAAUCAGAAAGCCACGGCUAACUACGU
rnacentral:rRNA from 1 species